AGUGAACGCUGGCGGUAGGCCUAACACAUGCAAGUCGAACGGCAGCACAGUAAGAGCUUGCUCUUACGGGUGGCGAGUGGCGGACGGGUGAGGAAUACAUCGGAAUCUACUUUUUCGUGGGGGAUAACGUAGGGAAACUUACGCUAAUACCGCAUACGACCUACGGGUGAAAGCAGGGGAUCUUCGGACCUUGCGCGAUUGAAUGAGCCGAUGUCGGAUUAGCUAGUUGGCGGGGUAAAGGCCCACCAAGGCGACGAUCCGUAGCUGGUCUGAGAGGAUGAUCAGCAACACUGGAACUGAGACACGGUCCAGACUCCUACGGGAGGCAGCAGUGGGGAAUAGUGGACGAUGGGCGCAAGCCUGAUCCAGCCAUACCGCGUGGGUGAAGAAGGCCUUCGGGUUGUAAAGCUCUUUUGUUGGGAAAGAAAAGCAGCAGGUUAAUACCCCGCUGUUCUGACGGUACCCAAAGAAUAAGCAACGGCUAACUUCGUG
rnacentral:rRNA from 1 species